rnacentral:rRNA from 1 species
UAGGGAAUCUUCGGCAAUGGACGAAAGUCUGACCGAGCAACGCCGCGUGAGUGAAGAAGGUUUUCGGAUCGUAAAACUCUGUUGUUAGAGAAGAACAAGGACGUUAGUAACUGAACGUCCCCUGACGGUAUCUAACCAGAAAGCCACGGCUAACUACGUGCCAGCAGCCGCGGUAAUACGUAGGUGGCAAGCGUUGUCCGGAUUUAUUGGGCGUAAAGCGAGCGCAGGCGGUUUCUUAAGUCUGAUGUGAAAGCCCCCGGCUCAACCGGGGAGGGUCAUUGGAAACUGGGAGACUUGAGUGCAGAAGAGGAGAGUGGAAUUCCAGGUGUAGCGGUGAAAUGCGUAGAUAUAUGGAGGAACACCAGUGGCGAAGGCGGCUCUCUGGUCUGUAACUGACGCUGAGGCCAGAAAGCGUGGGGAGCAAACAGG